GAUGAACGCUAGCUACAGGCUUAACACAUGCAAGUCGAGGGGAAACGGCAUUAAGUGCUUGCACUUUUUGGACGUCGACCGGCGCACGGGUGAGUAACGCGUAUCCAACCUGCCCCUUACCAGGGAAUAACCCGUUGAAAGACGGACUAAUGCCCUAUGCAGUCCUUUGACGGCAUCAGAUUAGGACUAAAGAUUCAUCGGUAUGGGAUGGGGAUGCGUCUGAUUAGCUUGUUGGCGGGGUAACGGCCCACCAAGGCAUCGAUCAGUAGGGGUUCUGAGAGGAAGGUCCCCCACAUAGGAACUGAGACACGGUCCUAACUCCUACGGGAGGCAGCAGUGAGGAAUAUUGGUCAAUGGGCGCUAGCCUGAACCAGCCAAGUAGCGUGCAGGACGACGGCCCUAUGGGUUGUAAACUGCUUUUAUGCGGGGAUAAAGUCACCCACGUGUGGGUGUUUGCAGGUACCGCAUGAAUAAGGACCGGCUAAUUCCGUG
rnacentral:rRNA from 1 species